GGAAAUUCGUAGUCGAGCAACCGAUGUUCAUGAUAAGGAAACGGGAAUCAAGAUUACCAAGAAGGAUUGGGAAAAGUUGAAUGUACAAUUGCUUCAUACAACAAUUUUCCUACUGCUGCUGGAUUGGCUUCCUCAGCAGCUGGUUUUGCUUGUCUUGUUUUUGCCCUCGCAAAGUUAAUGAAUGCGAAUGAAGAUCACAGCCAGCUUUCUGCUAUUGCAAAAAAUCUGAGAUUUUAAUAAGCCAUCGCAAUCUAACUACGUUUUACAGAAUACUUAACACAAUAGUGAGUGCUGAUAUCGACCCUGAAGAACAUCUCCUUGACAGUAGCUUAAUUGAUUUUGAUAGAGCAAGCCUCCUUUAUGCCAUUGGGAAUAAUAAU